UCCACAAGGAUACCGCUUCUACGCGCCGUCAUCAGACUACAUAUCUGGCGCCGACCACGGAAAGGGGGGAGCAAGCUUCUCACUGGCCAUCACAACAUAAGCGUGUCACAUGUUUUUUUUUUUGCGCAGCAUUUUAUCUUUGCGUGCGCCUCCGCUUGUGCCAGAUCCGUCCGUGGCGCCCUUUUUUCUUACUGGCCGGAAAGGCUAACACGGAGAAGAGGGUCGAUCGCAUAGAGACAGUGACGAUUGGCAACUGCCAGCGAGUGGCUCUUCUCCUCGUAGCGCUUUCUGAAUCGGCUUUCGAGCUAUCGUGAGGAGGAGCGCACAAAGAGGGUCGUUUUCAUUUUGUUUAGCUCGCACGAAGCGCGGAGCUUCACCCCCCUCCUUCCCUCCCGCUCGGGUGGUCGCCAUUGCGGUAGUUUUACUUGACGCUGUUUCUUAGGUAGCGUUACGAUGAGCAGCUACGACGCUAUGAGUGCGGUGAGCAGCAACGGCGCUGCAGUGCCGGAGAUCAACUUGCACCCGAGGCUAAUGACCUACCGGCCCGACAGUGACUCGUACACCAGCUCGGCACGUCAGACGCCUCGUAGCUCCCGGGCGGUCCCCACGAACGCGGAACUGGCAUACGCGGGAGUAACGGCGCAAGACGGCGUCGUGCAGCAGCUUUCUUCGCGCAGUGAGGAGAGAGGGUCGCUGGCUGGGCCCCGCGAAGUGUCGGCGCAGAGUAACUCUGGUCACCGGGUCUUGAGGGCGAUCACAGCGUGCGGGCCGAUUGACGAGCCAUUGCAGUUUAGCCAACCACAGCAGCGCCGCGCCGUCCGUGACACCCCUCGCGAGCAGCAACCGCAGCAGCACCAGUCUCAGCUGACGCGCAACAUAUCGCACGGUGUCGUGACUCGAAACCCAACCGGAGCCGUCAGCUCACGCGAGCCGAUCCGCCCUGGCCGCAGCAGCCGCAGCUCCACCCCGCGGAUCCCAUCGAAGUACAACGACCCGUACGCGCACGUCACCUCCGUCGUGCAGGAGUACCGCCAAAGCCGCAUCAGUGCCCUGGAGGCGCAGUACAGGGUGGUGCGCACUCACUCUAACACAUCCAUUUCACAGGGUUAUGAUACAAGGCAGAGUCAGAGCGCGUCGCCGCGCUCGGCGGAGGCGAGGCAUAACGCCUCAGCACACAGGCGGCCAUCUGCGCGUCCCAGAGAUGAAUCGCGGCGGGUGUCUUCCGCGUCGUCUCGCACUCGGCAGAACUCUCCGCUGCCGCGGGCGAUGGAGGAAGAGUACCUGCGUGGUGGUGUGCCGCGCGCCGCCCUCGACGCUCCGCACAUUCGCUACGCUGAGGCACUGCAAAACAUGUACAACUACUCCUCCUCUGCCCAGCGCCUCGCGUGCAUGUCUUCUAUGUCGAGCAACAUGACGACCGAGUACGUGCCAGAUGUGGCAAGGAGGAUACCCGACCGCUUCAAAUACGUUCCACCCACGGAGGAGGAGCGGCGCCACCAUCGCGAGGCGACUCUGCGCGCCCUCGAGGAAUGGCGUAGGCGGCAGUGGGCCGGGCAGAAUGCAAGCUGCGACGAGGACAUGGCUGCCGGCGGCGCCGCGGUUGAACCGCGCAACCGAAAUCUAGCCAAAAACCAGGCUGGCACCCGCUCUCAGCAACCGCAGCCGGCUCGCUGGGCACCUUCCGCAUCAUACGCGCCACGGGAGUCGCAGCUGCAGCAGGCUAGCCACGAGAAGGCGGCGGCUUGGGCUCUGCAGAAGGAAUUUGGCAACACUUCGGACUCUUUCUCUGGCCAAACAAGGGACUCUUUCACACCCUCUAAGAAGCACAGCGCAAAGAAGGCGAGCAAGAUCAGGGGUGCGGCCGAGCAGCACGAUGACUACUCCACGAACGAGGGCGCAGGAGAGUGGGAGCGACUGCAAUCAUCUGUGGGAAAGCGGUCCGGCACGCCGAUUAGCCGCCGUCAGAACGGCGCUGGCUCGCGAGCCUCGUCGCGCAAGGGUCGCAAGUCCCCACCGGAGUCAGUGCGUCUCGAAGACGGCAUGAAGCUGAACUCCUUCCGCCAAAAGUUGCUGUUUGACAUAGUUGCCCCUACCGUGUCCAUCGCAUAGAAUCUAACCAGAGCUACUCGUGAAGCCUUUGCACAGAGAAGGCUGGCACGGCACGUAGCAGAUGACGAUGACAGGGGGAGGAGACAGCGCCUGCGUGGUGGAGUAAAUGUAUGCUUGUGUGUGUCUGUUUAGAGUGGUGCACUUACUUUGCUCUUUGGCCGCGUUGGCUGCCUCCCACGUGUGCAGACCGCGAAGGCAGCGACUUAGGGAUCUAUGCGCCUGCAUACUCGUGUGCAGAUGUGUUUGCGUGCGUGUUUGUGUGUGUGCCGUUUAUUCGGUUCUUUUUUUUUCUUCGCCAGCUCAGCUUUGUGCGGCAUUGGCUGCUUACGUCGUUGUGUGGGUUUCCUUUCCUUCUGCGAAAGGAUUGCUGUGGUGGUCUCCGUUGGCCCCUCCCCCCACUUCCCACCCUUUCCCUCUCCUGUGCGUUGCUGCCAUCGUCUUGCUUGCUUUUCCUCGUCAAUCAUUGUCCACACGGCUCAUGACAGCCUCGCGGCUGUCUUCUCACGCAACUCUGUUUUUUUUUUUCUUUCGUCAUAUGUCUGUUCUGUACUGUUGUUUCGCCAUACAGUGACACUUCCGUGGGUGAAAAAAAUGAACGGCGGGGGCGUCGAGGCACCUGUGCGCACAGAGCCCGCACCUGCGUCGUUGGCUCGCGGAUGCCAUCGGCAAAGGAUGCCUAAAAAGUUGUCCUGGC
rnacentral:misc_RNA from 1 species